rnacentral:rRNA from 1 species
AGGAAGGAGAAGUCGUAACAAGGUUUCCGUAGGUGAACCUGCGGAAGGAUCAUUGUCGAAAUCGAAAGGAAGGACGGCCCGCGAAUCGUCACCCCGUACGGGAAAUAAUAGGGCUCGCGAGCACCGAGUGCUCGCGCGUCUGGCGUCGUGUCGGCGGGGGCCAUUCACGGGUCCCGCGUAGUACCGGCGGACAAACAACUUCAGCACGGAUAGUGCCAAGGAGCCUAAAUGGAGACGGUCGCAGUCCCACGCCCCGGUGCCGCUCUAUGUGGGGCCGGUGGACAAGGGCGGUCCAUGCUCUCUCUAGUAACGACUCUCGGCGACGGAUAUCUCGGCUCUUGCAUCGAUGAAGAACGUAGCGAAAUGCGAUACUUGGUGUGAAUUGCAGAAUCACGCGAACCAUCAAUUCUUUGAACGCAAGUUGCGCCCGGAGCCAUCCGGCCGAGGGCACGCCUGGCUGGGUGUCGUGAAUCCACUUGCCCCCGGGCUCCCGUUCCCGCACGCGGGCGGCGGGGAUAUGCCGGGGCGCAGAAAAUGGCCUCCCGUCGAAUCGGGCGUGUGCGGCACGCCGUGAUGCGGUUGGCCGAAAGUCGAGCAUCGGUGGCGACGGGCCCCACGGCGUUCGGUGGAUCGAUUGCGAUUGGCUGUGCCGCGGGCUCGGCGCCGUGUUGCGGGCUCUUCGUACGUGGACAAUAAAUAAAUCCCCGAGUGCGAUCCCAGGUUAGGCGGGGCUACCCGCUGAGUUUAAGCAUAUCAAUAAGCGGAGGAAAAGAAACUAACGAGGAUUCCCUUAGUAGCGGCGAGCGAACCGGGAGGAGCCCAGCAUGGAAAUCGUUCGCCGUCGGCGGCCGAAUUGUAGUCUGGAGAAGCGUCCUCGGUGACGGACCGGACCCAAGUCCACUGGAAGGUGGCGCCGGAGAGGGUGAGAGCCCCGUCGUGCCCGGACCCUGUCGA